CAGGAUUACAUAAAUCUAAUAAACAAAUGUUAGUAAGGGUCAGUGGAAGGGUGGAGUGUGGGCUCAGGAAGACCAAUUAAAUUUUAGUGCUAUUUCAGCUCUAGGUGCUGAUUUUGAUACUUCUUGCUUGGCUUUUAUUCCAAUUCCGUCGUUGAUAAUUACAAAGAUCCUUGAUUCAGGAUCAAAGUAGAAUAUUCUCUAUCAGUGAUCAGGAUCAAAGGUCAGCAGCUGGGAUUAAAGAUUAGGUGCAGAUUCAAAAGCCAGAAAAUAAGAUCAAAGUUCAGCAGUCAGAAUAUAAAUUAAGCAAUUAAGAUCAAAGUAUGUGAACAUGAGCUAAUGUAAGUGAUUAGGGUCAAAGAUCAAGAUCAAAGAUGAGUGAUCACAAAUAAAUAUCAGGACACACCCAGCAAUUACAAACUACAGUCAAUCAGUGAUGGUGUCUUGAACAGGAUCAAAGAUGGGUGUCCAUAGACAUAUUUUGAUCCAUAUCUGGCGGAUUUAUCUGCUGAGGCCUUGUGGAGAUAUACACUCUUCCAAGUGUCCUAAUUUUAAGGCUCUAUCACGUUAUGGCUAUGGGUUAUUUUUAGUUGUGAACUUUGAUUUGGUGUUUUAAGAGACAAGGUGACCUGUAUUAUCUUUCCUAAAAGAUAAAUAAUGUUACCUCUAUAACAUAACCACAGCUGUAAUUUUACUACUAAAGUAUUUGAACAGUACCUGGAUUGUACUUACUUAGGCUGAUGUUAUUUUGGAUUCAAGGCUUUUAAUGUGACAUCACUGCAAUAAAUCAGCAGGUAGCACUUAUUUUAAAACAUGAAUACCACAAAGGUUCUAUGCAUCUCUUUCUCUUCUGUGCACCUAUCACAGUGAUCCUUCAAAAGCAGACGGUGCUUAUGUGUGGCAUCUUCUAAUCCGUGGCACAUUUCCAUGAUUAGAAGGUGUAACCUAAUGGGGGGAGAAACACCUGACACUUGAACUCGGCUGAUAAAUUAAUGAAGAGUAUCCUCUGUCCCUCCCAUGUGAUCUGAUAUGAACACAGAAAAAAACACAGAAGCUCAACAACCUGUUAUAUAAUAGCAAAGUAAACUAGAUCCU